GGGGGGAGGCCGGAUCCUGGGCUGUGUCCCGGCGCCCUGUGCUCCGGGGCCUUCGCUGUUGGAUUCGCGCUCCCGCCCCACAGCCCCCU
rfam:Canis lupus familiaris chromosome X, whole genome shotgun sequence.